UACGGGAGGCGGCAGUGGGGAAUGGUGUACAAUGGGAGCAAGCGUGAUGCAGCGACGCCGCGUGAGGGAUGAGGGCAUUCGGUUUGUAAACUUAUUUUAUCAGGGAAGAGGGGAAAGUGACGGUACCUGCAGAAAAAGCGCCGGCUAAAUACGUGCCAGCAGCCGCGGUAAUACGUAGGGGGCGAGCGUUUUCUGGAAUUAUUGGGCGUAAAGAGCUCGUAGGCGGUUUGUCGCGUUUGCUGUGAAAACCCGGGGGUCAACCCCGGGUGUGCAGUGGGUACGGGCAGACUUGAGUGCGGUAGGGGAGAAGGGAAUUCCUGGUGUAGCGGUGGAAUGCGCAGAUAUCAGGAGGAACACCCAUGGGGAAGGCGGGUCUUUGGGCCUUAACUGACGCUGAGGAGCGAAAAGGUGGGGAGCAAACAGGGUUAGAUACCCCGGUAGUCCCCCCCGUAAACGUUGGGCACUAGGUGUGGGGGGCAUUCCACGCAUUCCGUGCCGCAGCUAACGCA
rnacentral:rRNA from 1 species